rnacentral:rRNA from 1 species
UACAGAGGGUGCGAGCGUUGUCCGGAAUCACUGGGCGUAAAGGGCGCGUAGGUGGCGGCCCAAGUCUGUGGUGAAAGCUCGAUGCUUAACAUCGAGUCGGCCACGGAGACUGGGUGGCUCGAGCACUGUAGGGGCAGAUGGAAUUCCGGGUGUAGCGGUGGAAUGCGUAGAGAUCCGGAAGAACACCAGUGGCGAAGGCGGUCUGCUGGGCAGUUGCUGACACUGAUGCGCGACAGCGUGGGGAGCAAACAGG